AGGGCCAUAGAGCAUUGAAACACCGUUUCCCCUAUGAUCACCGAAGUUAAGCAACGUCGAGCCUGGUCAGUACUUAGAUGGGUGACUACUUAGAAAUACCAGGUACUGUAAG
rnacentral:rRNA from 1 species